rnacentral:rRNA from 1 species
CCUACGGGUGGCAGCAGUCGAGAAUCAUUCACAAUGGGGGAAACCCUGAUCGUGCGACGCCGCGUGGGGGAAUGAAGGUCUUCGGAUUGUAAACCCCUGUCAUGUGGGAGCAAAUUAAAAAGAUAGUACCACAAGAGGAAGAGCCGGCUAACUCUGUGCCAGCAGCCGCGGUAAUACAGAGGUCGCAAGCGUUGUUCGUAAUCACUGGGUGUAAAGCGUGCGUAGGCUGUUUAGUAAGUCGUGUGUGAAAGGCGCGGGCUCAACCCGCGGACGGCAUAUGAUACUGAGAGACUAGAGUAAGGGAGGGGGAAGCGGAAUUCUCGGUGUAGCAGUGAAAUGCGUAGAUAUCGAGAGGAACACGAGUGGCGAAGGCGGGUUCCUGGACAUUAACUGACGCUGAGGCACGAAGGCGAGGGGAGCGAAAGGGAUUAGAUACCCGAGUAGUC